CCUACGGGUGGCAGCAGUGAGGAAUAUUGGUCAAUGGGCGCGAGCCUGAACCAGCCAAGUAGCGUGAAGGAUGACUGCCCUGCGGGUUGUAAACUUCUUUUAUAAAGGAAUAAAGUGCGGCACUCGUGCCCUUUUGUGUGUACUUUAUGAAUAAGGAUCGGCUAACUCCGUGCCAGCAGCCGCGGUAAUACGGAGGAUCCGAGCGUUAUCCGGAUUUAUUGGGUUUAAAGGGUGCGUAGGUGGGGUGUUAAGUCAGUUGUGAAAGUUUGCGGCUCAACCGUAGACUUGCAAUUGAUACUGGCAGCCUUGAGUACAGUGGAGGUAGGCGGAAUGCGUGGUGUAGCGGUGAAAUGCUUAGAUAUCACGAAGAACUCCGAUUGCGAAGGCAGCUUACUAAACUGCCACUGACAUUGAUGCUCGAAAGUGUGGGUAUCAAACAGGAUUAGAUACCCCUGUAGUC
rnacentral:rRNA from 1 species